GGCGUUCCGGGGUAAAAUUUUGAAAGGGCGAGCGGAAGAUGGGAGCUUGCUCCCUGAUGUUAGCGGCGGACGGGUGAGUAACACGUGGGUAACCUGCCUGUAAGACUGGGAUAACUCCGGGAAACCGGGGCUAAUACCGGAUGGUUGUUUGAACCGCAUGGUUCAAACAUAAAAGGUGGCUUCGGCUACCACUUACAGAUGGACCCGCGGCGCAUUAGCUAGUUGGUGAGGUAACGGCUCACCAAGGCAACGAUGCGUAGCCGACCUGAGAGGGUGAUCGGCCACACUGGGACUGAGACACGGCCCAGACUCCUACGGGAGGCAGCAGUAGGGAAUCUUCCGCAAUGGACGAAAGUCUGACGGAGCAACGCCGCGUGAGUGAUGAAGGUUUUCGGAUCGUAAAGCUCUGUUGUUAGGGAAGAACAAGUACCGUUCGAAUAGGGCGGUACCUUGACGGUACCUAACCAGAAAGCCACGGCUAACUACGUGCCAGCAGCCGCGGUAAUACGUAGGUGGCAAGCGUUGUCCGGAAUUAUUGGGCGUAAAGGGCUCGCAGGCGGUUUCUUAAGUCUGAUGUGAAAGCCCCCGGCUCAACCGGGGAGGGUCAUUGGAAACUGGGGAACUUGAGUGCAGAAGAGGAGAGUGGAAUUCCACGUGUAGCGGUGAAAUGCGUAGAGAUGUGGAGGAACACCAGUGGCGAAGGCGACUCUCUGGUCUGUAACUGACGCUGAGGAGCGAAAGCGUGGGGAGCGAACAGGAUUAGAUACCCUGGUAGUCCACGCCGUAAACGAUGAGUGCUAAGUGUUAGGGGGGUUUCCGCCCCUUAGUGCUGCAGCUAACGCAUUAAGCACUCCGCCUGGGGGAGUACGGUCGCAAGACUGAAACUCAAAGGAAUUGACGGGGGGCCCGCACAAGCGGUGCAGCAUGUGGUUUAAUUCGAAGGAACGCGAAAAACCUUACCAGGUCUUGAC
rnacentral:rRNA from 1 species